CAGAAAGUCUAGCUAGAAUAAUCAUCGGUUCAUUUCUGGUGGCCAUUCUUGCAGCAGUGGUUGCAUUUCUUAUUGCAAAUGGCAUCAGGAGGGGACAACUUUGCAGAAAAGUUCCAGAUGUUAAAGCAGAUAUUAAUGAGAGCCCACCCAGCACUUAUGAAAAUGUGCAUAACAUGAAAACAAUGGAUAAACGUCCUUCUCUUCCAAGUCCCAGCACAGAUCACCAUUACAUGG